rnacentral:rRNA from 1 species
GCCCGCCAGAGUCCAACCAAACUCUUGUAUUAAACCAGUCGUCUGAGUAUAAAAUUUUAAUUAAAUUAAAACUUUCAACAACGGAUCUCUUGGUUCUCGCAUCGAUGAAGAACGCAGCGAAAUGCGAUAAGUAAUGUGAAUUGCAGAAUUCAGUGAAUCAUCGAAUCUUUGAACGCACAUUGCGCCCCUUGGUAUUCCGAGGGGCAUGCCUGUUCGAGCGUCAUUACACCACUCAAGCAUCGCUUGGUAUUGGGAACGGUCCGUCGAAAGGCGGGCCUUCCUCGAAGACCUCGGCGGGGUUCAACCAACUUCGGGCGUAGUAGAGUUAAAUCGAACGUCUUAUAAGCUUGGUCGGAUCUCAUUGCCGUUAAACCUUUAAAUUUUCUAGGUUGACCUCGGAUCAGGUAGGGAUACCCGCUGAACUUAAGCAUAUCAAUAAGCGGAGGAAAAGAAACCAACAGGGAUUGCCCUAGUAACGGCGAGUGAAGCGGCAAUAGCUCAAAUUUGAAAGCUGGCCUUUGGUCCGCAUUGUAAUUUGUAGAGGAUGCUUUUAGGCAGCCGCCGGUCUAAGUUCCUUGGAACAGGACGUCAUAGAGGGUGAGAAUCCCGUAUGUGACCGGCUCAGGCACCUUCUGUAAAGCUCCUUCGACGAGUCGAGUUGUUUGGGAAUGCAGCUCUAAAUGGGAGGUAAAUUUCUUCUAAAGCUAAAUACUGGCGAGAGACCGAUAGCGCACAAGUAGAGUGAUCGAAAGAUGAAAAGUACUUUGGAAAGAGAGUUAAAAAGCACGUGAAAUUGUUGAAAGGGAAGCGCUUGCAAUCAGACUUGGCCUCGGUUGUUCAACCGGUCUUUUGACCGGCCUAUUCAAUCGGGGGCAGGCCAGCAUCAGUU